rnacentral:rRNA from 1 species
GAUGAACGCUGACAGAAUGCUUAACACAUCAGCAAUUGAUUGGGGGCGGACGGGUGAGUAACGCGUAAAGAACUUGCCUCACAGGUUGGGACCACAUUUGGAAACGAAUGCUAAUAACUAAUACUGUGGUAGAGCUUUGCGUCCCAUUAGCUAGUUGGAGAGGUAACGGCUCACCAAGGAGAUGAUGGGUAGCCGGCCUGAGAGGGGGAUCGGCCACAAGGGGAAUGGGACACGGCCCUUAGUCCUACGGGAGGCAGGAGGGGGGAAUAUUGGACAAUGGACCAAAGUCUGAUACAGCAAUUCUGUUUGCACGAUGAAGUUUUCGGAAUGUAAAGUGCUUUCAGUUGGGAAGCGGUACCAACAGAAGAAGUGACGGCUAAAUACGUGCCAGCAGCCGCGGUAAUAC